CCUGCCAUGCUCAGGUCACCCUGGGUACUGGAAGGAUAGCCACCCAGUUGCGGACCAAGGAGUCCCUGGGGUCAGUGGCGUUCAGGGAUGUGAUUGUGGGCUUCACCCAGGAGGAGUGGCAGCAGCUGAAGCCUGCACAGAAGGACCUGUACAGGGACGUGAUGAUGGAGAACUACUGGAACCUGGUUUCUCUGGACUUGGAGACUAAAUGGGACAUGAAUGAACCAGACCCAUCAGACUCUUGGGAAGACAGACCAUCCAUUGCGGUGGUGGUAGAAGGACUUAUAAAGAAUGGAGUUCAGGGUUAUGCCUGUGGAAAAGCAGGGAUACAGGGGUACAGGGUUGGGCUACAACACAGGAGCACGGGGACCUGUCAGAGGCAUUUGAACAUGUCCUCAGCGUUAGCUCCUGAGUGUUGUGAAUUUAAGGCAUUUGUCCAUCAAAGCCCCAUGCCAGGCCCACCAAGAGUGGAAGGACCGAGAGGAGAGGGCACACACUGAUUCACCAUGUGUGGGAAGAACUCUGGUACUUCCAGCUUUGGUCCUCCCUCCCAACUUUGUGCAGAGAGGAAGACAUACAAGUGCGGGCACUAUGACAAGAGUUUGAGCUAUAGUUCAUCCCUGGGGAAACACCAACAAAUCCACACUGGGGAGAGGCCAUAUAUGUGUGGGGUGUGCAGCAAGUCCUUUAGCCAGGAGGAUAACCUCAUCCUACACCAGAGGACGCACACCAGGGAGAAGCCAUAUGUGUGCAGGGAGUGCGGCAAGGCAUUCAGAUGGAAUAGUCACUUCAUCAAGCAUCUGAGCAUGCACUCCGGGGAGAUGCAGUACACGUGUGGGGAUUGUGGCAAGGCCUUCAGGAAGAGAAAUUACCUAGUCCAGCAUGAGAGGACACACACUGGGGAGAAACCAUGUGUGUGUGGGGGGGACUGUGGUAAGGCCUUCACACAGAAAUCA